GUUAUAUGGUCAAGUGAAGAAGCGCAUACGGUGGAUGCCUUGGCAGUCAGAGGCGAUGAAAGACGUGGUAGCCUGCGAAAAGCUUCGGGGAGUCGGCAAACAGACUUUGAUCCGGAGAUGUCUGAAUGGGGGAACCCAGCCAUCACAAGAUGGUUAUCUUGUACUGAAUACAUAGGUGCAAGAGGCGAACCAGGGGAACUGAAACAUCUAAGUACCCUGAGGAAAAGAAAUCAACCGAGAUUCCCUUAGUAGUGGCGAGCGAACGGGGACUAGCCCUUAAGUGGCUUUGAGAUUAGCGGAACGCUCUGGAAAGUGCGGCCAUAGUGGGUGAUAGCCCUGUACGCGAAAAUCUCUUGGUCAUGAAAUCGAGUAGGACGGAGCACGAGAAACUUUGUCUGAAUAUGGGGGGACCAUCCUCCAAGGCUAAAUACUACUGACUGACCGAUAGUGAACUAGUACCGUGAGGGAAAGGCGAAAAGAACCCCGGAGAGGGGAGUGAAAUAGAUCCUGAAACCGUAUGCGUACAAGCAGUGGGAGCAGACUUUGUUCUGUGACUGCGUACCUUUUGUAUAAUGGGUCAGCGACUUAUUUUCAGUGGCGAGCUUAACCGAAUAGGGGAGGCGUAGCGAAAGCGAGUCUUAAUAGGGCGUCUAGUCGCUGGGAAUAGACCCGAAACCGGGCGAUCUAUCCAUGGGCAGGUUGAAGGUUAGGUAACACUGACUGGAGGACCGAACCGACUACCGUUGAAAAGUUAGCGGAUGACCUGUGGAUCGGAGUGAAAGGCUAAUCAAGCUCGGAGAUAGCUGGUUCUCCUCGAAAGCUAUUUAGGUAGCGCCUCAUGUAUCACUGUAGGGGUAGAGCACUGUUUCGGCUAGGGGUCAUCCCGACUUACCAAACCGAUGCAAACUCCGAAUACCUACAAGUGCCGAGCAUGGGAGACACACGGCGGGUGCUAACGUCCGUCGUGAAAAGGGAAACAACCCAGACCGUCAGCUAAGGUCCCAAAGUUAUGGUUAAGUGGGAAACGAUGUGGGAAGGCUUAGACAGCUAGGAGGUUGGCUUAGAAGCAGCCACCCUUUAAAGAAAGCGUAAUAGCUCACUAGUCGAGUCGGCCUGCGCGGAAGAUGUAACGGGGCUCAAACCAUACACCGAAGCUACGGGUAUCACGUAAGUGAUGCGGUAGAGGAGCGUUCUGUAAGCCUGUGAAGGUGAGUUGAGAAGCUUGCUGGAGGUAUCAGAAGUGCGAAUGCUGACAUGAGUAACGACAAUGGGUGUGAAAAACACCCACGCCGAAAGACCAAGGUUUCCUGCGCAACGUUAAUCGACGCAGGGUUAGUCGGUCCCUAAGGCGAGGCUGAAAAGCGUAGUCGAUGGAAAACAGGUUAAUAUUCCUGUACUUCUGGUUAUUGCGAUGGAGGGACGGAGAAGGCUAGGCCAGCUUGGCGUUGGUUGUCCAAGUUUAAGGUGGUAGGCUGAGAUCUUAGGUAAAUCCGGGAUCUUAAGGCCGAGAGCUGAUGACGAGUGUUCUUUUAGAACACGAAGUGGUUGAUGCCAUGCUUCCAAGAAAAGCUUCUAAGCUUCAGAUAACCAGGAACCGUACCCCAAACCGACACAGGUGGUUGGGUAGAGAAUACCAAGGCGCUUGAGAGAACUCGGGUGAAGGAACUAGGCAAAAUGGCACCGUAACUUCGGGAGAAGGUGCGCCGGUGAGGGUGAAGGACUUGCUCCGUAAGCUCAUGCCGGUCGAAGAUACCAGGCCGCUGCGACUGUUUAUUAAAAACACAGCACUCUGCAAACACGAAAGUGGACGUAUAGGGUGUGACGCCUGCCCGGUGCCGGAAGGUUAAUUGAUGGGGUUAGCUAACGCGAAGCUCUUGAUCGAAGCCCCGGUAAACGGCGGCCGUAACUAUAACGGUCCUAAGGUAGCGAAAUUCCUUGUCGGGUAAGUUCCGACCUGCACGAAUGGCGUAACGAUGGCGGCGCUGUCUCCACCCGAGACUCAGUGAAAUUGAAAUCGCUGUGAAGAUGCAGUGUAUCCGCGGCUAGACGGAAAGACCCCGUGAACCUUUACUAUAGCUUUGCACUGGACUUUGAAUUUGCUUGUGUAGGAUAGGUGGGAGGCUUUGAAGCGUGGACGCCAGUUCGCGUGGAGCCAUCCUUGAAAUACCACCCUGGCAACUUUGAGGUUCUAACUCAGGUCCGUUAUCCGGAUCGAGGACAGUGUAUGGUGGGUAGUUUGACUGGGGCGGUCUCCUCCUAAAGAGUAACGGAGGAGUACGAAGGUGCGCUCAGACCGGUCGGAAAUCGGUCGUAGAGUAUAAAGGCAAAAGCGCGCUUGACUGCGAGACAGACACGUCGAGCAGGUACGAAAGUAGGUCUUAGUGAUCCGGUGGUUCUGUAUGGAAGGGCCAUCGCUCAACGGAUAAAAGGUACUCCGGGGAUAACAGGCUGAUACCGCCCAAGAGUUCAUAUCGACGGCGGUGUUUGGCACCUCGAUGUCGGCUCAUCACAUCCUGGGGCUGAAGCCGGUCCCAAGGGUAUGGCUGUUCGCCAUUUAAAGUGGUACGCGAGCUGGGUUUAGAACGUCGUGAGACAGUUCGGUCCCUAUCUGCCGUGGACGUUUGAGAUUUGAGAGGGGCUGCUCCUAGUACGAGAGGACCGGAGUGGACGAACCUCUGGUGUUCCGGUUGUCACGCCAGUGGCAUUGCCGGGUAGCUAUGUUCGGAAAAGAUAACCGCUGAAAGCAUCUAAGCGGGAAACUUGCCUCAAGAUGAGAUCUCACUGGAACCUUGAGUUCCCUGAAGGGCCGUCGAAGACUACGACGUUGAUAGGUUGGGUGUGUAAGCGCUGUGAGGCGUUGAGCUAACCAAUACUAAUUGCCCGUGAGGCUUGACCAUAUAACACCCAAGCAAUU
rnacentral:rRNA from 1 species